rnacentral:tRNA from 1 species
GAGGGUAUAGCUCAAGUGGUAGAGUGCAUGCUUAGCAUGCAUGAGGUCCUGGGUUCAAUCCUCAGCACCUCCU